rnacentral:rRNA from 1 species
GACGAACGCUGGCGGCGUGCCUAAUACAUGCAAGUCGAGCGGACUUGACAGAGCUUGCUCUGUUCAAGUUAGCGGCGGACGGGCGAGUAACACGUGGGCAACCUGCCCCGCAGAUUGGGGUAACUCCGGGAAACCGGGGCUAAUACCGAAUAACAUGGAAAACCUCAUGGUUUUCUUUUAAAAGGCGGCUUCGGCUGUCACUGCAGGAUGGGCCCGCGGCGCAUUAGCUAGUUGGUGAGGUAACGGCUCACCAAGGCGACGAUGCGUAGCCGACCUGGGAGGGGGAUCGGCCACACUGGGACUGAGACACGGCCCAGACUCCUACGGGAGGCAGCAGUAGGGAAUCUUCCGCAAUGGACGAAAGUCUGACGGAGCAACGCCGCGUGAGUGAAGAAGGUUUUCGGAUCGUAAAACUCUGUUGUUAGGGAAGAACAAGUAUCGGAGUAACUGCCGGUACCUUGACGGUACCUGACCAGAAAGCCACGGCUAACUACGUGCCAGCCGCCGCGGUAACAC